rnacentral:rRNA from 1 species
UGCACUGGAGACGGGCGGGCUAGAGUGCGGUAGAGGAUGGCGGAAUUCCCGGUGUAGCAGUGAAGUGCGUAGAGAUCGGGAGGAACAUCCGUGGCGAAGGCGGCCAUCUGGACCAGCACUGACACGGAGGCACGAAAGCGUGGGGAGCAAACAGG